AAGGAUUUAAGUUAACUUAAACUAGUAACCUUCAAAGUUACAAAUAAAGUCCACCUUUAAGCCUUG
rnacentral:tRNA from 1 species